rnacentral:rRNA from 1 species
AGCAUGCUAGUUGUGCGGGUUCAGACCCGCAGCGAAUAGCUCAGUAACACGUGGUCAAGCUACCCUACAGAGGAGGAUACCCUCGGGAAACUGAGGACAAUACUUCAUAAGGUUCCCACGCUGGAGUGCCGGGAACUGGAAACGUUCCGACGCUGUAGGAUGCGGCUGCGGUCGAUUAGGUAGACGGUGGGGUAACGGCCCACCGUGCCGAUAAUCGGUAUGGGUUGUGAGAGCAAGAGCCCAGAGACGGAAUCUGAGACAAGAUUCCGGGCCCUACGGGGCGCAGCAGGCGCGAAACCUUUACACUGCACGCAAGUGCGAUAAGGGGACUCCGAGUGCGAGGGCAUAUAGUCCUCGCUUUUCUGUACCGUAGGGCGGUACAGGAAUAAGAGCUGGGCAAGACCGGUGCCAGCCGCCGCGGUAAUACCGGCAGCUCGAGUGAUGACCGAUUUUAUUGGGCCUAAAGCGUCCGUAGCUGGCCAGACAAGUCUGUCGGGAAAUCCAUCUGCUCAACAGAUGGGCGUCCGGCGGAAACUCUCUGGCUCGGGACCGGAAGGCUCGAAGGGUACGUCUGGGGUAGGAGUGAAAUCCCGUAAUCCUGGACGGACCACCGAUGGCGAAAGCACUUCGAGAAGACGGAUCCGACAGUGAGGGACGAAAGCUAGGGUCUCGAACCGGAUUAGAUACCCGGGUAGUCCUAGCCGUAAACGAUGCUCGUUAGGUGUGGCACAGGCUACGAGCCUGUGCUGUGCCGUAGGGAAGCCGAGAAACGAGCCGCCUGGGAAGUACGUCCGCAAGGAUGAAACUUAA